rnacentral:lncRNA from 1 species
AGCUCGCGAUCGAAUCUCGCUUCAGCGAGAACGAAGAAAGGAGAAGAGACGCGCAAAGUGGGAAGGAGACAGCGAACGUGACAGGGGGUGUGGUGGUGCGGGUGUAGAGCUAGCGGAGAGGGAGAGGGGCACCCCCACGUACCGACCGACGGCGCCAUUGACAGCGUGGUACUGCGUGAACUCUUAAGCCGGAUACCAGAUACCGGAGAAGCGCCAUUCGUAUCGGUGUAAUCGGUUGGUGCCGAGUUUGGCAGUAUUGCCUUCUGCGCGCCUCCCGCGACUAUCUGUGAUUGAUCCACGUGCGUGGUAGAGUGGAGCGCGUAUACUAUAUCACUACUACGGUGUGCGCGCACCUCGUUUUCCGUUCACCGAUCCUCGCUCCGGAAACGACCACGUCUAUCGUCGUCUUCGUCCGCCAGCACCACCACCACAACCACCAUCACCACCACCAGCACCACCACCACCACCACCUCCUCCUCCGCCUUCCCCUCCCGCUUGUUCUCUUUCCCUGCCCCUUCUCUUUCUCUUCCAUUUUUUUCCUUUCAUCCUCGUCUUCGUCUUCGACUUCGUCUUCGUGUUCGUCUUCGUCGUCGUCGUCGUCGUCGUCGUCGUCGUCAUCGAAGUUUAGCAAUCGAACCGUACACUCGCAACAUCAUUUCGGAAUCGUCCCGACAAACGGCCAAUCGCGUUGGGCCCGUCUAGUCCGCUCGGUUGGUAAAAAAGCGCGAGCUGCUCCGAUACGUCGAGGGGAUUCCUGCGACGGUGGCCCAAAAUGAGGGGAAAGGGAAAGUGAGUGGAAGAGAGAACCAGAGAGGGUAGUAAGUAGAAAGAGAAAGACGCAGGAAACGGACGCGCGCGCGGUGCGUGCGGGGAGGAGGGAUAGAGGGACGCAGAUAGAGCGAAAAGGGUAGGGAGGGGAGCUAGAAAGCUAGGCAUCGGAGAGACGGGACGGGAAAGCAUAGUCCUUUACCACCCGCACGAGUUUCCUCUCGACUGUCGUACGGAACGACACGCGGACGCCUUUUCCUCCGAGUGCAAGUGGACGAGAGAGUUGGACCAAGCGUGCGUUAUUCUCAUCGUCGCUAUCGGUCGUGAUCGUUGGUCGUGCUCCUCAUCAUCAUCAUCAUCAUCACCAUCAUCACCGCCAUCAUCAUCAUUAUCAUCAUUGUCAUCAUCAUCAUCAUCGUCGUCGUCGUCGUCGUCGUCGUCGUCGUCGUCGCCGUCGUCGCCGCCGUCGUCGUCGCCGUCGUCGUCGCCGUCGCCGUCGCUGCUGUCGCCGCCGUCGUCGCCGCCGCCGCCGCUGCUGCCGUUGCCGCCGCCGUCGAUUCGAUAUAAUCGUCAUUGCCCCGUGACGUAAAUCGCGGUGUCGUCACACCACCCAAGAAGGAGGGAACGACGUACUCGAAAGAGGGAGUACACACGCAACGGAAGGAAGCAAAAAAAACGGAAGAGGACUGAAGGGAAAAGGAUUACAGAGAAGGAGAACGAAUAAGGAAGAGAAAGGGCGAGAACGAAGAAGAGAUAGAGGGGAGAGAAGAAGAGAGAGAAAGAGACAAAGAAGAAGAGAGAGAGAGAGAGAGAGAGCGAGGAAGUGCGCGUGUCGUAAACGACGAGAGGAGAGAGGAGAAAAUACUCUCGCAUGUAGUAGUCGCCGAAACUUGGGAGUAUCAUUUCGUUGUUUCGAGACGUGCGACGUGUUCCUUAUUUUAGGACGGAACUCGUAGAAGGCGUAGGACGAAGAAAAAGAAGGAGAGAGAGAGACAUCUGGAGACGGGAGUGUAUAGUCUCUCCGUGUUUUGUGUGACGAGUUUUGCGAUAAAGAGCAAAGUUAUUAACGCGUAAACAUGUCUCUGGAUAAAUUCACGGAGAGUACCCUGCAGAAAGAGAUGGAGAGGCUGGAUAUCGAAGAGAAGAACGGCGAUGCUCAAAGGUAAGGAUAUUCUUACAAUUUUAUGAUCUUUACGGUGAGGACGGGACUGUAUCGAGUAAUUGACAGGUAGGACGUAAGGACCAUUUCGGUCUAAUCCGGAAAUGGAUGAAACGAUAACAUGCGAACUAAAGCAGACAAAGAUUUACUUUACAUAGUGAUUAAUUUCGAGAUUUGAAUUCCAAGAUCCUCGUUUUGCGAAAGUCUCCUCUCCUUUGUUAAUGCACACGCGUCUCUCUCUCUCUCUCCCUCUCUCCCCCUCCCUCCCUCCUUUCUCACCAAAAGGUUUAAUAUUCCCGCGAAAACGAGACAUCUUUGACCUUACAUUCCUUUCUCGAAGCGCGAAAAUCAUUCAAGCGAGAUACAACUUGGUGCUUUUCACGACUGAUUCAAUUUGCCUCCGGAACUCGCAGCGGAGCUUUCCUGCCCGCGACCUUCGCGACGUUGUACUAUCGACAGAAGCCCUGGUAGCCCGAGCGGGCGCGGGGCCGAUCGUCGGCAUAGGACGGCUGUCAGCCUCGGCCUCGGUGCAAUUUCGGCGCGGUGCAACGCGGUGCGCGCGCUGACCUGUCUGUCGUGCAUAACUAUUUCUCUUCGUCGUUCUUUCUCCGCCCACCCUUACCCUGUAGGGGGCGAAGCCGCUCCCUCCUCCUCAUAUUCGCAUCGUCGUAGCGAACGAUGCGAGACCGCCAGCUGCGAAGGACUCUAUUCCGGGAAUAGGAGAAGAAGCGGGACGCGAAUUCAUUAAUCCAUCGCGAGACGUCUCGGCCGCGUUUUCGACUAGCCGCGUCCUACAACGAUCCCGUCACCGCCGCUUCCCACCUGUCGCUCGUUCGUUCACUCCUUCCUUUCAUCCUUCCCUUCU